AACGAACGCUGGCGGCAUCCCUAACACAUGCAAGUCGAACGAGACCUUCGGGUCUAGUGGCGCACGGGUGCGUAACGCGUGGGAACCUGCCUUUAGGUUCGGAAUAACAGUGAGAAAUUACUGCUAAUACCGGAUGAUGUCUUCGGACCAAAGAUUUAUCGCCUUUAGAUGGGCCCGCGUUGGAUUAGCUAGUUGGUGGGGUAAAGGCCUACCAAGGCGACGAUCCAUAGCUGGUCUGAGAGGAUGAUCAGCCACACUGGGACUGAGACACGGCCCAGACUCCUACGGGAGGCAGCAGUGGGGAAUAUUGGACAAUGGGCGAAAGCCUGAUCCAGCAAUGCCGCGUGAGUGAUGAAGGCCUUAGGGUUGUAAAGCUCUUUUACCCGAGAUGAUAAUGACAGUAUCGGGAGAAUAAGCUCCGGCUAACUCCGUG
rnacentral:rRNA from 1 species